CUAUACAUGCAAGUCGAGCGGACAGAUGGGAGCUUGCUCCCUGAUGUUAGCGGCGGACGGGUGAGUAACACGUGGGUAACCUGCCUGUAAGACUGGGAUAACUCCGGGAAACCGGGGCUAAUACCGGAUGGUUGUUUGAACCGCAUGGUUCAAACAUAAAAGGUGGCUUCGGCUACCACUUACAGAUGGACCCGCGGCGCAUUAGCUAGUUGGUGAGGUAACGGCUCACCAAGGCAACGAUGCGUAGCCAACCUGAGAGGGUGAUCGGCCACACUGGGACUGAGACACGGCCCAAACUCCUACGGGAGGCAGCAGUAGGGAAUCUUCCGCAAUGGACGAAAGUCUGACGGAGCAACGCCGCGUGAGUGAUGAAGGUUUUCGGAUCGUAAAGCUCUGUUGUUAGGGAAGAACAAGUACCGUUCGAAUAGGGCGGUACCUUGACGGUACCUAACCAGAAAGCCACGGCUAACUACGUGCCAGCAGCCGCGGUAAUACGUAGGUGGCAAGCGUUGUCCGGAAUUAUUGGGCGUAAAGGGCUCGCAGGCGGUUUCUUAAGUCUGAUGUGAAAGCCCCCGGCUCAACCGGGGAGGGUCAUUGGAAACUGGGGAACUUGAGUGCAGAAGAGGAGAGUGGAAUUCCACGUGUAGCGGUGAAAUGCGUAGAGAUGUGGAGGAACACCAGUGGCGAAGGCGACUCUCUGGUCUGUAACUGACGCUGAGGAGCGAAAGCGUGGGGAGCGAACAGGAUUAGAUACCCUGGUAGUCCACGCCGUAAACGAUGAGUGCUAAGUGUUAGGGGGUUUCCGCCCCUUAGUGCUGCAGCUAACGCAUUAAGCACUCCGCCUGGGGAGUACGGUCGCAAGACUGAAACUCAAAGGAAUUGACGGGGGCCCGCACAAGCGGUGGAGCAUGUGGUUUAAUUCGAAGCAACGCGAAGAACCUUACCAGGUCUUGACAUCCUCUGACAAUCCUAGAGAUAGGACGUCCCCUUCGGGGGCAAAGUGACAGGUGGUGCAUGGUUGUCGUCAGCUCGUGUCGUGAGAUGUUGGGUUAAGUCCCGCAACGAGCGCAACCCUUGAUCUUAGUUGCCAGCAUUCAGUUGGGCACUCUAAGGUGACUGCCGGUGACAAACCGGAGGAAGGUGGGGAUGACGUCAAAUCAUCAUGCCCCUUAUGACCUGGGCUACACACGUGCUACAAUGGACAGAACAAAGGGCAGCGAAACCGCGAGGUUAAGCCAAUCCCACAAAUCUGUUCUCAGUUCGGAUCGCAGUCUGCAACUCGACUGCGUGAAGCUGGAAUCGCUAGUAAUCGCGGAUCAGCAUGCCGCGGUGAAUACGUUCCCGGGCCUUGUACACACCGCCCGUCACACCACGAGAGUUUGUAACACCCGAAGUCGGUGAGGUAACCUUUUAGGAGCCAGCCUUUUU
rnacentral:rRNA from 1 species